GAACGAGGAUAUAUCCUUCGGGAUGUAAGCCGAGUGGCACAAGGGUGAGCAAUGCAUAGAUUACCUACCUUUAGGAUAAGGGCAACUUUGUGAAAACGGAGCUAAUACUUAAUAAUACAAAAGAAAAUAAUUUUCUUUUGUCAAAGGGAGGGUAGCAAUACCUUUCGCCUAGAGAGGGGUUUAUGUCCUAUCAGCUUGUUGGUGGGGUAAUAGCCCACCAAGGCGAAGACGGGUAGCCGGUUUAAGAGGAUGGUCGGCCACACUGGGACUGAGACACUGCCCAGACUUCUACGGAAGGCUGCAGUCGAGAAUCUUUCGCAAUGCCCGAAAGGGUGACGAAGCGACGCCGCGUGGGUGAAGAAGGCCUUCGGGUUGUAAAGCCCUGUCAGGAGUUAUGAAAUGUAAGUGCGCUAAUAUCGUGCUUAUUUGACAAAGGCUCCAAAGGAAGCCACGGCUAACUCUGUGCCAGCAGCCGCGGUAAUACAGAGGUGGCGAGCGUUGUUCGGAAUUAUUGGGCGUAAAGAGCACGUAGGUGGGUUUGCAAGUCAGAUGUGAAAGCCUUCUGUUCAACGGAAGAAUUGCAUCUGAAACUGCUAAUCUUGAGUAUAGGAGGGGAGAAUGGAACUUCUGGUGGAGCGGUGAAAUGCGUAGAUAUCAGAAGGAACGCCGGCGGCGAAAGCGAUUCUCUGGCCUAUUACUGACACUCAGUGUGCGAAAGCUAGGGGAGCAAACGGGAUUAGAUACCCCGGUAGUCCUAGCCGUAAACGAUGGGCACUAAGUAGAGGGAAUUACCUAUAUUCUCUCUGCCGUAGCUAAUGCAUUAAGUGCCCCGCCUGGGGAGUACGGCCGCAAGGCUAAAACUCAAAAGAAUUGACGGGGGCUCGCACAAGCGGUGGAGCAUGUGGCUUAAUUCGAUGCAACGCGAAAAACCUUACCGGGGCUUGACAUGAUAGAAGUAGGAACCUGAAAGGGGGACGAACGGUAUCCAGUCCGUAGCUAUCACAGGUGUUGCAUGGCUGUCGUCAGCUCGUGUCGUGAGACGUUGGGUUAAGUCCCCUAACGAGCGAAACCCUUGUUUUUAGUUACCAGCGGGUUAUGCCGGGUACUCUAGAAAGACUGCCGUCGUCAAGACGGAGGAAGGUGGGGAUGACGUCAAGUCAUCAUGGCCCUUAUGCCCCGGGCUGCACACGUGCUACAAUGGUCGGUACAAACGGAAGCGAAGCCGAGAGGUGAAGCGAAUCCUAAAAAGCCGAUCUCAGUUCGGAUUGGAGGCUGAAAUUCGCCUCCAUGAAGUUGGAAUCGCUAGUAAUCGCGGAUCAGCAAUGCCGCGGUGAAUAUGUUCCCGAGCCUUGUACACACCGCCCGUCAAGCCACCCAAGCAGGAUGCACCCGAAAACAUUAUAUCUAACCAGGGCAACUUGGAGGAAAGUGUUGUAGGAGUGUUUCGUGA
rnacentral:rRNA from 1 species